rnacentral:rRNA from 1 species
UACGUAGGGUGCAAGCGUUAAUCGGAAUUACUGGGCGUAAAGCGCGCGUAGGCGGCUUUUCAAGUCGGAUGUGAAAUCCCCGGGCUUAACCUGGGAACUGCAUUCGAGACUGUCUAGCUAGAGUAUGGGAGAGGGAAGUGGAAUUUCAGGUGUAGCGGUGAAAUGCGUAGAUAUCUGAAGGAACAUCAGUGGCGAAAGCGACUUCCUGGACCAAUACUGACGCUCAUGUGCGAAAGCGUGGGGAGCAAACAGG